AUUUCUAUUCUGCUUAAUUCCACACUGUGGAAGCGGGGGAACCAACGCAGGCGACUGUCGUCUGCCGGGGUGAAUCCGGAUGUAUCUGCAACACGGCUGCCGAAGCCGCUGCAGGUCGUAUCUGGUAGGGCUACUCUCUGGUCCGAAUCCGUCAGCUAACCCCGUAAGCAAAAAAAGGAGAGGUU
rnacentral:sRNA from 2 species